rnacentral:rRNA from 1 species
AAAGGGUCCGUAGGCGGAUCUGUAAGUCAGUGGUGAAAUCUCACAGCUUAACUGUGAAACUGCCAUUGAUACUGCAGGUCUUGAGUGUUGUUGAAGUAGCUGGAAUAAGUAGUGUAGCGGUGAAAUGCAUAGAUAUUACUUAGAACACCAAUUGCGAAGGCAGGUUACUAAGCAACAACUGACGCUGAUGGACGAAAGCGUGGGGAGCGAACAGGAUUAGAUACCCGUGU